rnacentral:lncRNA from 1 species
UUUGGGCUUGACCCAGCCUUACGAUUUGAGCAGGCAGCUGAUCCCUUACAUGAUGUGUUCGUUAUGGUUCUUUUGAUAUCAAGUAACAGAGGCCAAGCCAGCAAGAGGGAUAAAAAUCAUUAGAAAGAUACUGAGAGGCCUGGUGGGAGCUGAGGAAGGAACUGGAAAUUCCAGCCGGAGGAUCAAAUCUAAGAUUGUCAGGAUGGGUGUGAAGGCCUCAGGGCUAUUGACAAGAUCACUAGAAAAGUGUCUAUGUGAAACUCCAUGGUAUGAUGCAAACCUCCUCUACCCCAGCCCAACAGAGCUAAAGGUCGGGUGCCAACGAGGCUUUGGCUUUUGCUCCUCAUCUGUGGGCUUCACUGUUUCCUCUUUGUACCAGCAGAGCCAGGGGCUCUCGGGAAAGCCGGUUGAGUCCUCAGCACCUUAGGAGAUCCCAGGCAUAGCCACAGUGGCUUCUCCUCUUUCGUCCUUUGAUGGAAGCUGUGAGUGGAGUCUCAGUGACUAGGGGAGAGCCAGCUUCAGGCUGAGGGUUGAGGUGAGGGAUGCGUAGCCCAUGUCCUCGCUGCUCUAUGCGGUCCUUCCUCUGUGGGUGUAGAGGAAGACCUGUAGGAGUGCCAA